AGUGAACGCUGGCGGCAGGCCUAACACAUGCAAGUCGAACGGCAGCACAGGAAAGCUUGCUCUCUGGCUGGCGAGUGGCGGACGGGUGAGGAAUAUAUCGGAAUCUGCCCAGUGGAGGGGGAUAACGUAGGGAAACUGAAGCUAAUACCGCAUACGACCGUCGAGUCAAAGAGGGGGAUCGCAAGACCUCUUGCCAUUGGAUGAGCCGAGGUGGGAUUAGCUAGUAGGUGGGGUAAUGGCUCACCAAGGCGACGAUCCGUAGCUGGUCUGAGAGGAUGAUCAGCCACACUGGAACUGAGACACGGUCCAGACUCCUACGGGAGGCAGCAGUGGGGAAUAUUGGACAAUGGGCGCAAGCCUGAUGCAGCCAUGCCGCGUGGGUGAAGAAGGCCUUCGGGUUGUAAAGCCCUUUUAUUGGGGAAGAAAUCAUUAAGGCUAAUACCCUGGGACAAUGACGGUACCCAAAGAAUAAGCACCGGCUAACUUCGUG
rnacentral:rRNA from 1 species